AGAGGUGUGGAAUGCAGGAAGAGAUGUGACGCGGACCAGACGGGUCUUGCCUGCUCCUAGAGAAAGGAAGGGGUUAGCCACGGCGGGAACGGCCCCGCCAGUGAGGAGCGCAGGCACAAGGCUUAGCGGAAGAGGUGUGGCCCAGGCGUACCGCAGGGGCGUGACCCGAACGAGCUGUCCUUAUCCCUUACGUGAAGGGCGUGGCGUAGUCCCAAGGGUGUAAAAAAAGAUAUUCGAAUUGGCGGGAGGGUCGGCAUACUUUAGGCGGAGUAAGGACGUGGGCCCAAGGGAGGGAGGUAGGGUAGGCAGAAUAGUUGUGACUGGAUGAUCACUGGUAUGUGAAACGAACUGCGCUCAGAGGCGCAGACUGGCUGAAGCGUGGAAGAGUGGCCACAGCUGGAAAGGCAGGCAGCGGAGUAGUGACGGACAGGGGAGGUGGCGCGAAAAGGGAAGUAGGGACCUGACGUAGUUGGAACGCAGAGACGUCCCUCGAACGUGGGGGCCUGGUCCUUACGUGUGGGCGUGCCUUGUUGCUCUGACGGGCGUAACAAACAUGGUGGAGCAGGCGGAGGGCAGAGGCGUGGGCAAGUUCGCGUGCAGGCGCGUGGCAGCGACAGGAGAUGUGUAGCCAGAGCGCAGAGCUGGUGUGGACUCCGGCGCAGGGGAAGCGUGGUCAGGGCGAGAUUUGAGCCUAGGUCGGGGACAGAGGCGGGACUGAUAGGGGCGUAGCCUGGAAUGACGAAAUGACGUUUGCUGCGUGGGGACGUGGCUAAACGUGAGGGGGCGUGGGCAACAUGGCCGCGUGCUGGAUCUUCGGGUCCCGGGAGCGAACGUGGAGUUUCUGACUCAGUGCAUCCACUCUGGGAGAGCGUGGACCUGGUUCCCAGGGGUGAUCGACAGUCACCCAUCAACAUUUGGUGGAGGGACAGUGUUUAUGAUCCCGGCUUAAAACUGCUCACCAUCUCUUAUGACCCAGCCACCUGCCUCCACGUCUGGAAUAAUGAGUACUCUUUCCUCGUGGAAUUUGAAGAUUCUACAGAUAAAUCAGCUGCACUUAGUGCAUUGGAAUGCAGUCAAAUUUGAAAACUUUGAGGAUGCAGCACCGGAAGAAAAUGGUUUGGCGGUGAUAGGAGUAUUUUUAAAGGAAAAUUCUCAGUCUCCCUUGAAGAAGUGAAGCCUCCUCCUUUAUGCGCUGGCCACUGUCUAAUACCUCCCAACAAUACUUAGAGGAGACUACCUGCUGGAGCCUCACUAGAAUUGAGGGAUCAAAUGGUUUUGGUUGUUUUCCCACUGGGGAAUAUUAAAAAUACACAGUUAAUUGCAGAAACAAAGGCUGGGCAUGAUUCCAUCCUAAGCAGCGAUUCUUCAGGUAGCUGCCCAGAAGGGCCUGGAGCUCCUCUGGACCACUGCUGAUCUCCAGAUACUCCCUGAGAACCAUCACCUCGUCGUCUGAUUCCUGAGUGGUUUUCACCACUAAAUAAUGACUCAGUAACCCAAUCUCUUGGCCAGGACGCUCUCAUGGAAUUUGGGUCAUUUGGCACUUCCUGCCUGGUGCCCACCUGUCUAGAUUACUGGACCCAAGUAGGUCCAGUAUCUCCCUGGUCCAGCCCUGUCUGAGUCCAUCACCUGGAUCAUUAAGAAGCAGCCAGUAGAGGUUGAUCAUGAUCAGGUACAUUCUCUCCACAAUUUUCAUCUAAGGAAAUACUUGUCUCCCCUUUUAAAACAAAGCUGGGCUCAGAUGUGGCAUCAGUUUUAACAUCUUGUAAUACUUAUGCAUUUUUAUUGAAGUGUACAAAUGUCUUAUCUCAGUUUGGACAUGAAUUUAGAGGUAUUUCAAAUCAGCGAGAGAAGAGUUAAAGUGACAUGUUUUUAUUAUACAUGCAUUGUGUAGAUUCUCUAUGAAAAUUAAUACCUUUUUAAAUAAAAAAAAGAAGGCUGGAAAUGGGGGUAUUCAAAACCCUUUAAAAUCUAUAGAAUCUCAGGAUAAAGACAGACUCCAGCAAUAUUCAUCCAGAAAUUUUCAUGUAAGUCAGUUGUUUGAAACUUGGAAUUUAUUUUUCUCUUAGAAACUAAAUCUAAGUGGUGGUCACUGCAUCAGCACACAAAAUCCUGUUUAAUUCAUAAACUAAACUGUAAUAAUAACUGCGUAUACUUGUUCAUAUUGGAUUUUUAUUGACUAACAGCUGCUUCCAACCUCUUUUUUAUGCAGCCAGGAUAACAUUGAUACCAAAACCUAUCAAAGAUUAGACCAUCCUACCCCCCAAAAAUAACAAUAGGCCAAUAUCUCUAAAAAAUAUGUAACAAUAACCAAAAAAAGCUAAAUAAAAUACUAGAAAUAGAAUCUAGUAGUGCAUUAGAAGAAAUAUAUACUUUGUCCAGGUAGGGUUUAUUCCAGUAAUCCAAAGGUGGUUCAGUACUAAGAAUGAUAUACUUAUGAUUAAUGGAUUUCAUCCUGUCAACAAAUCUAUAUUAUCAUUUCCAUAGAUUUCCUAAAAUACAUUAGAUAAAACCCACCAUCCCUUUAAAAAAAUUUUUUUUAAUAAAACAGAAAUGGAGAAUUCCCUAACUGGAUGAAGUAGAUUUAUCUCAGCUCAAAAAUAAAUAGUAUGUUUAAUGUGGAAAGGAUAUCAUUAACUCCAUGAUUAUUAGCAUACUAAAAACUAAAUUUAAUUGAAUUAACCUCUGGCAGGAGCCAAUAAAGUUAGACCAAAAAAGAUAAAGAACAUUAGAGAAACACUUAAAAACUCCUACAAAGAUAAUUCAGCAAUUAGUGGAGUACCAUGUCAGUUUAUAGAAAUCAAUUCCUUUGACACAUGUAACUCAACAAUUAGAAGACAUAACAGAAGAAGGAAACCUAUUUAUAAUAGAAACUGAAAAACUAAAAUGCUGUUAGUAAACAACAUAAAAUGUUAACAAGAAAACUAUAAAACAUUUCUGAGGGACGCAGAAGACUUGAAUUUAUAAAAUUCAUGCCCUGUUUUUAAAUAGGAAGAUAUCAUAAAGACACCUUUGAUGUCAAUUCUCCUUAAGUUGUGAUUCCAUAAAUUUAAUAUGGUUUUAAUAAAAAUACCAACAGAAUUUUAAAACUAGAUAUAGUACUUCUAGAGUUCAUGUGGAAAAGCAAAUAAGCAUGAAUAGCUGGAAAAAUUCUAAAGGAGAAAAUAAGGAAUGAUUAGACCCAUAAAGCUUUAAAGCCGCAAUAAUUAAAUAGUAUGAUACUAGCACAUGAAUAGAAAUAUAAAUCAAAGGAAGAAAAUAGUUCAGAAAUAUGGCCAAGUACAUGAGAAUUUACUUUAUGAUAAAGAUAGCAUCUCAGCUCAAUGCAGGAAAAGAUAAAUCCAGUAAAUGGUAUUGGGGGACAACCGAGCAGGCAUUUAGGAGAAAAAGUUGGACCCAUCGUUCAAUCCUGACAAAAAUAUAUUCCAGAUGGAACAAAACUUUAAAGGUAAAAAAAUGCCAUAAAAGUACGAGGGUAGGAAGAUUCUUUCAUACAUCCAAAUGGAGGAAGCUUUUCUAACUAUAAAUCAAAACCCAGAAGUAAUCAAGAAAACAACUAGCAAUUAGACUACAUACAAAAAUUUUAAAAUCCUUUCUGAUGAAAAUCACCAUAAACAAAAGAUAGAUGACAUACAGGGAAAACAUUUGCAACUCUGUUUACUCAUUCAGCUACUAUUUAUUGAAUGCCUACUGUAUGCCAGCUACUCUUCUAGGUGUUUGAGACAUCAUAGUGAACAAAACAGAGAGUUAAUUGCUUUAAUAUAUAAAGAGUUUCUAGAAAUCAGUUUUUAGAUAAUCAAGAGCAAAUGGUAUAAACAGACAGCUUACAGUUAAGGAAACAAGAAGCCCAAUACCAUGUGAAAAAAUUUUCAACCUUAUGAAAAGCGACGAAACAAGAUGAAACUACACUGAAAUACGAAUUUUCACGUAUCAGAUUAGCAGAAACCCCAAAAUUGUAUUGCUCACAGUGCUUGUACAAGUGUGGAGCAUAGGCAGCCUCAUGUGUUACUGGUAGGUGGUAAUGACACAUGAAUAAAGAUGUAAGAGACUAAAAAGUAUGUUGUUUUACUAACAGUUAAUUACAAUGUCAAAGGAAGAUAAAAUGCUAAGUUGGUACUAUUGUAGUAGCUAUCAGAGUGCAAUUUACCAAACAGCAAUUUAGACUACACAUAAACUGCAGACCUAAACAAUAAUACAUAUACAUAAUUAUUCUUUGCCCCAUUGUUUGCAAACAACCUAAAUACCAGUCACCUCUAUGGCAUUCCUCCUCCAAAAUUUGUAUCCCCCAUCUAAAUCAUGAGAAAAGACAAAACCAAACUGAAAAAGGACUUCUACGAAAUACCUCACCAGCCCUCUUCAAAAGCAUCAAGGUCAUGAAAAACAAGGCAGAAAAACUCAAGAGUGGAGGAGACCAAGAAGGAGUAGGUUCUGGAGAAGACAAAGGACACUGGGGCAGUCUAAAUAAAGUCUGGAGUUUACUUAAUAGUAUCAACCCAAUGUUAAUUUCUUAGUUUGAUGAAUGCAUCGUGAUUAUAUAAGAUAACGUUAGAGGAAGCUGGAUGCAGGGUCUCAACCUCAGCACCACUGACAUUCAGGGCAGAUCAUUCUUGGUUAUGGGGACUGUCCUGUGUAUUGCAGGAUGUUUAGUUGCAUCCCUGCCUCGACUCACUGGAUGCCCAUAGUACCACCUCCCGAGGUCGUGACAACCAAAAAUGUCUCCAGACAUUCUCCACUGUCAAUUGCAAACUCACCCCUUGUUGAACACCAAAAACACCAAUGAUAUACAUUAACCCCUAAUAUCAACUAACCAAUAAAAUGCCGUACCUCUUAGUGUAUGAGAAGAAGAAACACAUCUUCAAUGUCUAUGAGAAUGGCUUUUAACUAAUCAAUACCUUGAUUAACCAGUAGAAGGCAUAUUUAGUGGUGAUUCACUUAUGACUGCCUGUACCUCACCAGGACAAAAUUGUGGUUUGUCAAGAGAGUCUUUAGUCACAAACAGAAUAAACAACCACUGGCUUAUGUUGCAAAAAGGAUAUGGGAAAUUCUAUAGACAUUGGAAAGAAAAAAUACAUUAAAAGAAGUCCACACCAGGUGCAGUGGCUCAUGCCUGUAAUUGCAGCACUUUGGGAGGCUGAGGCGGGCAGAUCACCUGAUAACAGGAGUUCAAGACCAGCCUGGCCAACAUGGUGAAAACCCCGUCUCUACUAAAAAUACAAAAAAUUAGCUGGGUGUGGUGGCGGGUGCCUGUAAUCCCAGCUCCUCGGGAGGCUGAGGCAGGAGAAUUGCUUGAACCUGGGAGGCGAAGGUUGCAGUGGGCCAAGAUCGCGCCAUUGCACUGCAGCCUGGACAAGAGCGAAACUCAGUCUCAAAAAAAAAAAAAAAAAAGUCUAUACCCACUCUGAUGCCAUUAUCUUGAGACGUCUUAGAUAUGAAUAAAAAGCCAUUCCAAUCAUUAUGAGAACCGUCUUUAGAAGAAAAUUAUACCAUAGGAAUAUCUCUAGAUUUUGAAAAUCAUAUACCUAGAGAUCAUUCCAUAAAUAAGGAGUCAGGCAAAAAACCAAAGGAAUUCGUCGACGAGUGUUAGGAAUCUCAUUCCCCCACAACUAUUGGCUGACCCCAACCCUGCAUUGCAAAACACUUGGCCCCCUCUGACCUCAAAAAGCAUUUGGUGCUUCCUCGUUAAGCUCUAUUCAGUGUUUUUACUAUUCACCCAUCUUCCUCAGUCUGGACCAAAUCUAUUGCCCGAUCUUCACAUUGGUUGCGACGUUUUUGUCUCUUCCCAAUUCUGGCAUUCCAGAGGGUCAAUAGGUUCCUUCUGCACGUGCUUUUGAGGGAAGUGUCCCCCCCCCAAAAAAAUUGCUUCACACCACCUUGAACAGACUCUAAACUUAAGCACUACAGUUACUAAGCAGCCUUUGGAUUCUUUGUUUUCGAAGUUAGAUUUUUUCAGCUAUUAGUGGAAAGUGUGCCUCACUCUACUCCAGGAUUACCAAUAGAAAUGAAAGGACAGAAAUGGCAUUAGUGUUCAGAGAAGAUUAUCCAUACAUGGCUAUAUGAACACUGAAAAUUACAUGAGGGUCAACAUAAAAUCAGCAUUACAGGUACUAAAACAUAAAUCCUGAUGGCUUUCACCAUUUUCUUAAGAGCAAAAUUGCAAAAAGUGAUAUUAACAGCCAUCCUAGACAAAUAUGAGUAAAUGAUUUGUUUUUCCUUAAAAGAGCAUCCAAGUGUAUUGUAAGCGUUUUCACACUGAUCAAAGAGAGCACCCUUCUGUCAACAGGUAUCUCCGGUUUUCAGGACCUGGCAGAAAUUCUAUGUUCUGCCUUUAAAGGUCAGGUACAAAAGUAGAGGCAGCUGCCAGGCCCCUUUGCCCAGAGCUGAGGGUCUGGGACCAUGAGUGGGAAGGAUUGAGGCUUGAACCUCCUUGGUCCGCCAGACAGCAUGGGGCACCACCCGCCCGUUCUGCAGCUGCGCGCCGCAAAGCUCUGGCCUGGCCGUGGCCGCCUGCCCCAUGCGACACUUGCUGGCCAGACCAUACCCAGCACACGGCGCCUCUUGCUCUUUCGGACAUUUUGAUGCCAAGGGUCGCUGGUCACUGAGCACUGACAUUUGAUCUCGGACCGUGACCGCAGAUUUUGGAAAUUUCUGGCACCCCAGUGUCUACUGAAAGGCCCCACCCACUGCCCUGCUCUCAUGGGCAGCUACCUGAGCCGCUUCCUGGGGUGACUCUGGGCCAGAAAGCUGCGCCCAGCCCAGAAGCACUGGGCUCUGCGGUCCAGGCCCUUCUUCAGCCCCCAGGUCCAGGAGAACUGCAAGGUCACCUACUUCCAAGGGAAGCACUGGGUCCGCACCCGGCCCCUCCCCACCGCUCCUCCCAGCUGGGACUACCCCCGCAUCCGCAUCCAGAGAGAGAUGGUCCCCGCCCCCAUCCACCUCCGGAGAUGGUCCCCCAGGCCUGGAGGUGCUUUCCCAGCAGGCCGCCGCUGCGGAGAAACAUCAGGCCUGGUUUCUCCGAGGCUCGCGUGGCUUACGUGAAGCGGUGGCUUUGGACCGCCCGCCACUCCCCCAGCCUGUCCACAGCCUGGUGACUGUGAAAAUCACCCCGCUAGAGCGCAGAGGGAGCCCGACGCCCAGGCCAUCUGCCUUCAAGCCUGUGAUGAGAAACGGAGUGGCCCAUUCCUUUGUGCCCAGGUCUAGGCCGCUGAGCAGAGGCCCCCACUCCCAGGCAGCGUUGUCUCAAUCCUCGCGGCCGCCUGCCAUGCUGCAGGAUGUGCGGCUGCCAGGCGCCCGGUCGCCGAGUCACCGCAAGAGCGCUGGGCCUGCGGGCAGCACUGCCCUGACGCCUCAGGCUUGCCUGCGCCUGGAAGGAGGUUCGCCAGGGCGGCCAUGAGCCUCUGAGCACACCCAGCCUGCUGCCCAGCUCCAAGAGUCAGGCCCCUGCCACCACCUCCUGAACCUCCAGCCUUCACCCUACUGACUGUGGUUCCACCCCCACACCAGCCACCGGCCCCACCAGGGCACUUUCCACCGCUCCAGCCGACCACUCAGCGAGCCCCAGGCCCACCUCUCCUCUCCCUUAAAACCCUUCCCUUUUCCUUGCCCAUUCGCCCCUGCCCUCUCCCUGGGGACAGAAGGCAUGCUUCUCCCCAGUUUCCCCAGUUUCUGCAAUAAAAUAUUGGUUGUUGUUAAUAA